AUACCCAUCCCAUCUCUUCAUCCAAGCAGAGGCCUCGCAACAACCCAUGAGAUCGGUGAUGACUGCCCCCAUUUGCCAGCUUUGCAGGGAGAGGUCAAGACCAAGACGAUCUUCAGGCCCAAGGGAGGCAGGGAGGAGGCUUGCAAAGCCCACCCCUGGGAAGAGAGGAGGAAGCUGAGGCUUGAGCUGGAGCUCAGAAAUGGGGCUGGAGUUCCUCAUCAUUAUCUCAACUACCCUUGCCUGCUGGCCUGGAGGAUGAGGCUGGGACUGAAUUCUGGGCUUGGCCUGUCUCCACUGAGUCUGGCUGGCCGCCCUGCCUGUUGGCAGCUUGGAGUGUGGGUGUCGAGCUGGGCAUCUGGUGGGCUGGCUGGAGCUGGAAGACCCUGGGAAAGAUGAGGCCUCGCAACAACCCACGAGAUCUGUGAUGACUGCCCCCAUUUGCCAGAUGAGAAGCUGAGGCUCGGAGAUAUUGAGGAAUCUGUCGAGCGUGUUGCUCCACAGAGCUGACAGCUUCCCACAGUGUGUGAGAUGUGCCACAGCCAGGGGAGAUCUCAGGAAAAAGAGGCCCUCUUC
ensembl:lncRNA novel transcript